UUUGAUCAUUAAAUUAGUUUUUAGAUAGUCAAUUUGAUUAUCAAAUAUUUUUCAUUUGUUAAUUUAGUCCACAAAAUUACUAACAAAAGAGGCACUAUGGGUAUAUAAGUGUGUUUGCAAUUUUGAUAUAUUCAUGAACCAAUAUGACAACGAGUUUUGCUUCCGAAGACUAAAAUGAUGGUUUACGUUUUUUUUUUUUGUUAAUCAACCUUCACCAAAAAACUCAAAUGUAUUUUGAUUAUCGUUUUAUAUUUUAGUUAGAAUAUUGUUUGAUCUCUACAUUUUGUUUGCUUUUUAAUAAUGGUCCUUGCAUUUCAAAAAAUAUUUUUUAAAAUUUUAUAGCUUAUUCUUGUUACCAAAUUCAGUCCCUCCAAUUGUUUUCUAGACAAAUGACUAACGUGGUAAUGGUGGACCCGAUUAAAUAUGUUUUUUGUUCAUGCAUUUUGCUCAAGUUAGUAUUUGUUCUUGUCAGUUUAAUAUCUAAUAUGUGUACUGAUGUCUGUUUAAAAUUGUUUUGUAAAAAAAUUAUUUUAACCCUAAAAUGAAAAUCUAAUAUCCUAAUAGCUUUUCUAUAAUCAAUUUUUAAAAAAAAUCUAAGGAACCUAAGCGUAAGAUUUUUACAUUUUUAAAAAUUGAUUUUUAUGAUA
rnacentral:lncRNA from 1 species